rnacentral:rRNA from 1 species
GAUCCUACGGGGGGCAGCAGUGGGGGAUAUUGCACAAUGGGGGGAACCCUGAUGCAGCGACGCCGCGUGGGUGCAGGAGUGCUUCGGCAUGUAAAGCCCUAUCGGCAGGGAAGAAGCAAGACGGUACCUGACUAAGAAGCCCCGGCUAACUACGUGCCAGCAGCCGCGGUAAUACGUAGGGGGCAAGCGUUAUCCGGAUUUACUGGGUGUAAAGGGAGCGUAGACGGACUUGCAAGUCUGAUGUGAAAAUCCGGGGCCCAACCCCGGAACUGCAUUGGGAACUGUAUAUCUAGAGUGUCGGAGAG